rnacentral:rRNA from 1 species
UACGAAGGGGGCUAGCGUUGUUCGGAAUUACUGGGCGUAAAGGGCGCGUAGGCGGCGUGUCAAGUCAGGCGUGAAAGCCCCGGGCUCAACCUGGGAAUGGCAUUGGAAACUGGCGGACUCGAGUGUGGCAGAGGGGGGUGGAAUUCCGCGUGUAGCAGUGAAAUGCGUAGAGAUGCGGAGGAACACCGAUGGCGAAGGCAGCCCCCUGGGCUAACACUGACGCUCAGGCACGAAAGCGUGGGGAGCAAACAGG